rnacentral:rRNA from 1 species
GACGAACCGAGCGAACGUUAUUCGGAAUCACUGGGCUUAAAGGGCGCGUAGGCGGGCGGUCAAGUCAGGGGUGAAAGCCCCCAGCUCAACUGGGGAAGUGCCUUUGAUACUGGUCGUCUCGAGGGGGAUAGGGGCGUGCGGAACUUCCGGUGGAGCGGUGAAAUGCGUAGAUAUCGGGAGGAACACCUGUGGCGAAAGCGGCGCACUGGACCAUAACUGACGCUGAGGCGCGAAAGCUAGGGGAGCAAACAGG